rnacentral:rRNA from 1 species
AAUUAUUAAUCUUUAUAAUUUUACUAUCAAAUCCACCUUCAAUAAACAUUUCAAAUUUAUAUUCAUUUAAAUAUUUUUAUUGUAACCCAUUUCUACUUAAAUAUUAGCUACACCUUGAUCUGAUAUAUUUUCUUUUUAAAAAUUAUGAAAAUUAACAUUCUUAUAAAAUAUUCUAAUAACGACGGUAUAUAAACUGAUUACAAACUUAAGUAAGGUCCAUCGUGGAUUAUCAAUUACAGAACAGGUUCCUCUGAAUAGACUAAAAUACCGCCAAAUUUUUUAAGUUUCAAGAACAUAACUACUACUACCUUAGUUUUUAAAUUUACAUUUUAAAUAAUAGGGUAUCUAAUCCUAGUUUAUUAUUAAAAUUUUCAAGCUUCAAUUAUUUUAUAAAAAAAAUU